rnacentral:misc_RNA from 1 species
GAAAUGCGAUAAGUAAUGUGAAUUGCAGAAUUCCGUGAAUCAUCGAAUCUUUGAACGCACAUUGCGCCCUCUGGUAUUCCGGGGGGCAUGCCUGUCCGAGCGUCAUUGCAAACCCUCAAGCCCGGCUUGUCUGAUGGGUUCCGCGUCCGCCUCUUAGGGGGCGGACGAGCCCGAAACGCAGUGGCGGCGUCGCGGUAAUCCGAUCAGCCAGAGCGUAUGGGGACAUCUCGUCACACGCUUUAGGCGCGGACCGGCGCCCGCCGAGACCAAAUCUCACACUCAAGGUUUGACCUCGGAUCAGGUAGGGAUACCCGCUGAACUUAA